rnacentral:lncRNA from 1 species
CGUCUUUGUUUGGGUCGUAGCUACAAAUACUUAAAUUACAGACCACUUUUUGUAAAAUAAAAAUGUGUGGUAUUCUUUUUCCCGUUGCAACGCACGGGCCUUUUUCCUAUAAUUUAUAAACCAGAAGAGGUGAAACCAAAACUAUACUCCCUCCGUCCGGUAUUUCUCGUCGCACUAGUGUUUUUGCAGUUUAGUCCUCGUUGUUAUCCCGAUCAAACCCACGGUCCUCUCUC